AAGACUUUGGGUAUGCUCACAACAUUCAAGGGCUUAAAUGAUUAGUUAUGCCUAGCAUGGAUAUGGGAGGGGGAAUUGGAUGAUCAGUUAUGUCUGACAGCAGCAUGAAAAGGGAGAAUGGCAACACGCUUACUGCACUGCAUUUACUGUUUCUGAGCUGGAUAGCUUUGAAGAGAUCUUUGAAGGCUAACUUUAUGCAGUUCUGCAAAAAUCAACUUCUCCAUAUUUUUCAAAAGAGCUUGCCACAGAGACAGAGCUGGGAGACUGCUGGACCACCAUAAACCAAUUGAAAGAUCAUCUCUUGAAAUUCAAUCCUAAAUGCCAUUGCUGGAACUCAGUAGCUUCUCAAUAAAAGAUACACACUGAAUAAA
ensembl:lncRNA novel transcript